UCUAAUGCCCGUACCCCAAACCGACACAGGUGGACUGGUAGAGUAUACCAAGGCGAUUGAGAGAACGGUGUUGAAGGAACUAGGCAAGUUGCACUUGCAACUUCGGAAGAAGAGUGGCCUUUAUGUGGGCAACCAUGUAAAGGUGGCACAAGCUAGGGGGUAGCGACUGUUUACUAAAAACACAGGGCUCUGCGAAGAUUAAUGUCGACGUAUAGGGUCUGACGCCUGCCCAGUGCCGGAAGGUUAAGUGAUGGAGUGCAAGCUCUGGAUCGAAGCCCCGGUGAACGGCGGCCGUAACUAUGACGGUCCUAAGGUAGCGAAAUUCCUUGUCGGGUAAGUUCCGACCCGCACGAAUGGCGUAACGACUUCCCCACUGUCUCCAACACCGGCUCAGCGAAAUAGAAUUCCUCGUGAAGAUGCGGGGUACCUGCGGUUAGACGGAAAGACCCCGUGCACCUUUACUGCAAUUUUGCAUUGGUAUUAGAAAUUCGUUGUGCAGGAUAGGUGGGAGGCUUUGAAGCCAAGGCGCAAGCUUUGGUGGAGCCACCCUUGAGAUACCACCCUACGUAUUUUUGAUAUCUAACCUAGACCCGUUAACCGGGUCGGGGACCAUGCAUGAUGGGCAGUUUGACUGGGGCGGUCGCCUCCCAAAAAGUAACGGAGGCGUGCGAAGGUAGGCUCCGGUUGGUCGGAAAUCAACCUUUCAGAGUGUAAUGGCAUAAGCCUGCCUGACUGCGAGACGUACAUGUCGAGCAGAGACGAAAGUCGGUCAUAGUGAUCCGGUGGUUCCACGUGGUGGGGCCAUCGCUCAACGAAUAAAAGGUACGCCGGGGAUAACAGGCUGAUCUUGCCCAAGAGCUCAUAUCGACGGCAAGGUUUGGCACCUCGAUGUCGGCUCAUCACAUCCUGGGGCUGGAGCAGGUCCCAAGGGUAUGGCUGUUCGCCAUUUAAAGUGGUACGUGAGCUGGGUUUAGAACGUCGUGAGACAGUUCGGUCCCUAUCUGCCGUAGGCGUUGGAAGUUUGAGAGGAUUUGUCCCUAGUACGAGAGGACCGGGAUGAACGUACCUCUGGUGUGCCAGUUGUUCCGCCAGGAGCAGCGCUGGGUAGCUAUGUACGGACGGGAUAACCGCUGAAAGCAUCUAAGCGGGAAACCCUCCUCAAGACCAUACUUCCCCAUGAGAGCCGUCGUAGACUACGACGUUGAUAGGCUGGAUGUGUAAGGGUAGUAAUGCCUUUAGCUUACCAGUACUAAUUGCUUCAUUGGCUUAAAAAA
rnacentral:rRNA from 1 species